rnacentral:lncRNA from 1 species
UAUAAAAGAAUUAAAAUUUUAAAAUAAUUUUAUUUAUGUAUUUUAUAAAAUUUGAUUGUGUGUAUGUGCAAUAAAUAUAUUUUGUUUAAUCAUAACUAUCUAAUUUGGUAUAAAAAUUGGAAAAAUAAUAGUAGAUUUAGUUAAAUUAGGUUUAUUAUUAAAUUUAAAUAGAUUAAAAAAUUAAAUUAUAUAAGUUGGAAAUUUUAUUUGAUCGUAAUCAUCUGAUUUUGUAGAAAAAUAUGAAGAAUCAUAAAAGAUAAGUUACGUUCGAUUUUAAAAUUUGAAUUCACUUAAAAACUUAAACCAAAUAUAUUGACAGUUUAUAAAAGGCUAAAUUACAGAACCCUCAUUGUCAAUACCUGUUUUUUAAUUUUCUUUUAUGUCAUUUAAAAAUCUACAUAUUUUACUGUCAUUAAUGUUCUGUAAGUGUUUCGUUUAUAUUCUUUUAUUAUAUUUUUUUAAUAUCCAAAAUAUUUUUAAAACAUUCAUCUCAGAUUGCGCCUCCUCCUUCCUCACCGACGUCCUCAAUUGCGCUGCCUCGCCCUCCUCCGCU